AUGAAACAAGUCUGCGGUAGUUCAAAACUGGAAUUGGCACAAUAUCGCGAAGUGGACGCCUUCGCUCAAUUUGGGUCAGACCUUGAUGCUGCGACUCAGGCAUUACUCAAUAGAGGUGCAAGUCUUAUAGAAGUGCCCAAACAACCACAAUAUGAACCACUUCCAAUUGAAAAACAAAUUGUUGUGAUUUAUGCUGCUGUCAACGGCUUCUGUGAUCGAAUGCCACUAGACAGAAUUUCUCAAUAUGAAGAAGGCAUUCUAAGUACUAUUAAUCCUGAAUUACAAAAAUCCUUCUUC
rnacentral:rRNA from 1 species